GGUUUCCUACGGGAGGCAGCAGUAGGGAAUCUUCCACAAUGGGCGAAAGCCUGAUGGAGCAACGCCGCGUGGGUGAAGAAGGUCUUCGGAUCGUAAAACCCUGUUAUUAGAGAAGAAAGUGCGUGAGAGUAACUGUUCACGUUUCGACGGUAUCUAACCAGAAAGCCACGGCUAACUACGUGCAGCAGCCGCGGUAAUACGUAGGUGGCAAGCGUUAUCCGGAUUUAUCGGGCGUAAAGGGAACGCAGGCGGUCUUUUAAGUCUGAUGGGAAAGCCUUCGGCUUAACCGGAGGAGUGGAUUGGAA
rnacentral:rRNA from 1 species